AUUUAAGUAAUUUAAUUUAAAAUUUUGAUUUGUGAUAUCAAAAAUGUAAUUUUUUUACCUUAAAUU
rnacentral:tRNA from 1 species